rnacentral:rRNA from 1 species
UAUUGGGCAUGGGCGCAGCCUGACCGCCUGCCGCGUGAGUGAUGAAGGCCUUCGGGUUGUAAAGCUCUUUUGGCGGGGACGAUGAUGACGGUACCCGCAGAAUAAGCCCCGGCAAACUUCGUGCCAGCAGCCGCGGUAAGACGAAGGGGGCAAGCGUUGUUCGGAAUUACUGGGCGUAAAGGGCGCGUAGGCGGUUCUUUAAGUCAGGCGUGAAAGCCCUGGGCUCAACCUGGGAGUGGCGCUUGAUACUGGGGGACUAGAGAGUGGGAGAGGUUGGUGGAAUUCCCAGUGUAGAGGUGAAAUUCGUAGAUAUUGGGAAGAACACCGGUGGCGAAGGCGGCCAACUGGACCAUUUCUGACGCUGAGGCGCGAAA